rnacentral:rRNA from 1 species
AUGAUAACUUAAAUAGCCGCAAUUUUUGUGCUAAGGUAGCAUAAUCAUUUGUUUUUUAAUUAAAAACUAGAAUGAAAGGUUUUACAUUAAAUUUCUUUAUAUAUUUUAUAUUUAUUUAAUUUUUAUUAAGAAUAAAAAUAUUCUUAUUAAACAAAAAGACGACAAGACCCUAUUGAAUUUUACUUUUGUUUAGCUGGGGCAGCUAAUUAAUUAAAAUUUUAAUAAUAACACCAAAAAUGACCUAAUAAAAUUAAUUAAUUAAUCAAUAUUACCAUAGGGAUAACAGCGUUAUAUUCUUCUAAAGCUCUUAUUUAAAAGAAAUUUUGCGACCUCGAUGUUGAAUUAUCACUCUAAUUAACGCAAAAGUUAUUUAAGUAGGUCUGUUCGACCUUUAAAAUGUUACA